UCAUCAGUUAGGAUUAAUCCUUUCCUGUUACCUCUUCGGAGGUAGCAAGAUGAAGAUGAUGAGAUGAUUUGGAUGAUCGAUGAUAUCUCCAUGGGAGUGGGGAAUAUAAAAAUAUUUUUAAA